GACGAACGCUGGCGGCGCGCUUAACACAUGCAAGUCGAGCGAAGCGGCGGACGGGUGAGUAACGCGUGAGUAACCUGCCUUAGAGAAGGGGAUAGCCUUUGGAAACGAAGAAUAAUACCCUAUACUCUAAGAUGGACUUGCGUCUGAUUAGUUAGUUGGUGAGGUAACGGCCCACCAAGACAGCGAUCAGUAGCCGGCUGGAGAGAGUGUACGGCCACAUGGGGACUGAGACACGGCCCAGACUCUACGGGAGGCAGCAGUGGGGAAUAUUGCGCAAUGGGGGAAACCCGGACGCAGCAACGCCGCGUGAGGAUGACACUUUUCGGAGCGUAAACUCCUUUUAUCAGGAAAGCGGUACCUGAUGAAUAAGCACCGGCUAACUCCGUGCCAGCCGCCGCGGUAAUUC
rnacentral:rRNA from 1 species